rnacentral:rRNA from 1 species
GGAAGGCAGCAGGCGCGCAAAUUACCCAAUUCUGACACAGAGAGGUAGUGACAAGAAAUAACAAUAUGGGGCAUCCAUGUCCUGUAAUUGGAAUGAGCAGCGUCCAAAUUUCCUUGUGAGGAUCAAUUGGAGGGCAAGUCUGGUGCCAGCAGCCGCGGUAAUUCCAGCUCCAAUAGCGUAUAUUAAAGCUGUUGCGGUUGAAAAGCUCGUAGUUGGUUUUCUGUUGAGGGCAACCAGUCCGCCCACUGGGUGAGUAUCUGACUUGCUCUCGGCAUCUCUCUGGAAAUUGCUGCUGCACUUGACUGUGUGGUGCAUGACCCAGAGCCAUUACUUUGAGGAAAUUGGGGUGUUUCAAGCAGGCCUUGGCUGUUGAACACAUUAGCAUGGAAUAGUCAGCGAGACUCCAGCUCUUUCUUGCUGGUUUCUAGAGCUGGGGUAAGGGUCAAGAGGGAUGGUUGGGGGUAUCCGAACUUGGCUGUCAGAGGUGAAAUUCUUGGAUUUGCCAAAGUCGCACGACUGCGAAAGCAUUUAUCCAAAAUGUCUUCAUUGAUCAAGAACGAAAGUUAGGGGAUCGAAGACGAUCAGAUACCGUCCUAGUCUUAACCAUAAACGAUGCCAACUAGGAAUUGGAGGCUGUCUUCACUUUGACUCCUUCAGCACCAUAAGAGAAAUCAAAGUCUUUGGGUUCCGGGGGGAGUAUGGUCGCAAGGCUGAAACUUAAAGGAAUUGACGGAAGGGCACCACCAGGAGUGGAGCCUGCGGCUUAAUUUGACUCAACACGUGGAAACUCACCAGGCCCAGACACAGGAUGGAUUGACAGAUUGAUCGUUCUUUCAUGAUUCUGUGGGUGGUGGUGCAUGGCCGUUCUUAGUUGGUGGAGUGAUUUGUCAGGUUAAUUCCGUUAACGAACGAGACCUUAACUUGCUAAAUAGCCACGUGCAGCCCAUCUGCUUCACGGUUGGCUUCUUAGAGGGACUUUGUGUUUCCAACAUGAGGAGGUUUGAGGCAAUAACAGGUCUGUGAUGCCCUUAGAUGUCCUGGGCUGCACGCGCGCUACACUGGCGCUCUCAGUGAGUUCUCGUCUUGCCCGAAAUGGUUGGGUACCCUCUGAAACCAACGCCAUGAUGGGGAUAGAUUAUUGCAAGUAUUAAUCUUCAACGAGGAAUUCCUAGUAAGCGUGAGUCAUCAGCCCAUGUACUCUGCGU